rnacentral:piRNA from 1 species
UGAUGUGACAAUUCUUAUGAAAAAGGACGU